GACGAACGCUGGCGGCGUGCCUAAUACAUGCAAGUCGAACGCAGUGGGGACGGGUGAGUAACACGUGGUUAACCUCCCAUCAGAGGGGAUAACACUUGGAAACAGGUGCUAAACCGAUAUUGAUUGAUGGACCCGCGGUGCAUUCGCUCGUUGGUGAGGUAACGGCUCACCAAGGCCACGAUGCAUAGCCGAGCUGAGAGGGUGAUCGGCCACACUGGGACUGAGACACGGCCCAGACUCCUACGGGAGGCAGCAGUAGGGAAUAUUCAGCAAUGGGCGAAAGUCUGACGGAGCAACGCCGCGUGGAUGAAGAAGGUUUUCGGGUCGUAAAGCUCUGUUGGUAGGGAAGCGGUAUCUAAACAAAAAGCAACGGCUAACUACGUGCCAGCAGCCGCGGUAAUUC
rnacentral:rRNA from 1 species